rnacentral:misc_RNA from 1 species
GCAAACUUGGUCAUUUAGAGGAAGUAAAAGUCGUAACAAGGUCUCCGUUGGUGAACCAGCGGAGGGAUCAUUAUAGAGUUAUUCAACUCCCAACCCUGUGAACAAUACUUGUUUUGUUGCCUCGGCAGGUCGUGACUUACCCUGUAGCACUUACCCUGGAAUGCCUACCCUGUAGAAGUUACCCUGUAACACCUACCCUGUAGUGCAUACCCUGGAGCGGUCUGCAUGGAAAUCACGUUUAUGGCCUGCCGGAGGACCAAAUCAACUCUUGAUUAUAUUGUCUCUGAAUAUUAUAACUAAAUCAGUUAAAACUUUCAACAACGGAUCUCUUGGUUCUGGCAUCGAUGAAGAACGCAGC